rfam:Zea mays cultivar B73 chromosome 2, whole genome shotgun sequence.
AGAGCAGCUGAUGAGGACAAGACAGGGACAUCAGAACCCAUUUCUGGGCAUGAUAGACUGCGUCUUUAAUGGGAAUCUCUCUGAUGCAUC